rnacentral:rRNA from 1 species
AGCGCGGGGCAACCUGGCGGCGAGUGGCGAACGGGUGAGUAAUAUAUCGGAACGUACCCUGGAGUGGGGGAUAACGUAGCGAAAGUUACGCUAAUACCGCAUACGAUCUAAGGAUGAAAGUGGGGGAUCGCAAGACCUCAUGCUCCUGGAGCGGCCGAUAUCUGAUUAGCUAGUUGGCGGGGUAAAAGCCCACCAAGGCAACGAUCAGUAGCUGGUCUGAGAGGACGACCAGCCACACUGGAACUGAGACACGGUCCAGACUCCUACGGGAGGCAGCAGUGGGGAAUUUUGGACAAUGGGCGCAAGCCUGAUCCAGCAAUGCCGCGUGAGUGAAGAAGGCCUUCGGGUUGUAAAGCUCUUUUGUCAGGGAAGAAACGGUGGGGGCUAAUAUCCUCCGCUAAUGACGGUACCUGAAGAAUAAGCACCGGCUAACUACGUGCCAGCAGCCGCGGUAAUACGUAGGGUGCAAGCGUUAAUCGGAAUUACUGGGCGUAAAGCGUGCGCAGGCGGUUUUGUAAGUCUGUCGUGAAAUCCCCGGGCUCAACCUGGGAAUUGCGAUGGAGACUGCAAGGCUAGAGUUUGGCAGAGGGGGGUAGAAUUCCACGUGUAGCAGUGAAAUGCGUAGAUAUGUGGAGGAACACCGAUGGCGAAGGCAGCCCCCUGGGUCAAAACUGACGCUCAUGCACGAAAGCGUGGGGAGCAAACAGGAUUAGAUACCCUGGUAGUCCACGCCCUAAACGAUGUCUACUAGUUGUCGGGUCUUAAUUGACUUGGUAACGCAGCUAACGCGUGAA